ACCAGCUGUUCUCCGGUACAUUAGACUGGGAGCCCUUCCAGAAGAGGACUUGAGGACUCAGCCAUGACUUGGCCCUCACCCUGCCCUGGCAGCUCCUGACUGGCUUGGGGCUCAGACAAGGACUGGAGUUUGCAUCAGAUGUAGGGUGGAUGAGCAAUGCAUGACAUGAGGCGUAUCUGGCGUACGACCCCUUCAAACAGCGCCUGGACAUUGUGAUGCAACGCUGCUGAUGUCUCGAUGAAUUUGCAGUCAAAGACCACAGCACAGGCCCGGCCCUCUGGUGUGGCAGCAAUAGAGACUUCACGGGAGCGCACCAGAUCACUCUUGUUGCCCACAAGGAUGAUGGGGACAUCAUCUGCCUGCCGUGCUCGCCGCAGCUGGACCCGAAGUUCUGAGGCCUUCUCAAAGCUGCCUUUCCUCUGCUUCAGGACCAUCCUCUACACCACCGAAGAUGCGUGCCAGAGCGCUCUUGCCCACGC